UUAUUCAAUGGGUGGUGGGUUCUGCAAAGUGCAAUCAAAGAGAAUGAAGAAGCCUAUCGUAGUUUUGUUAUUGGUAAUAUUCUUUUCUGCAUUCAACUGCUUCAACGCCAAAGAAGCUUUCAAUGUUUGCAAGCAUCUCUCCACUGUUUUCAGGCAAGGCAUGGAACUCGUUCUCCUACAAAGAAAAGGAUAAGAGAGUUAGAUAAUUUGUCGUUACGUUAGGAAGAUCUUAUAAAGGAUGCUAGAGGGCGAAAUUUGCAUUUGGAAAGAGUUCCUUCCUGGUUAUAUGGAUGGAAAUCUCCUUGGCAAGGAAGGCUCAAGGGUGGUAAGUUGAUUAGCAAAGGAGAGGAAGAAUUAUAUGAUCUUGGACUCAAAAUUAGAGAAAAGUUUCCAAGUUUGUUUGAUGAAGAGUACCAUCCAAACAUAUAUACAAUAAGGGUAACUCAGGUUCCUCGAGCCUUGGCCAGUGGGGUAGCAUUUGGGAUGGGGCUUUUUAGUGGAAAUGGUAGCCUUGGGACCAGAAAACAUCAAGCGUUUUCUGUUAUAAGUGAAAGUCAUGCUAGCGACAUCAUGCUGAAGUUUCAUGAUUGUUAUCAUAACUACAAGGUAUCAGGGGUUAGGGGUGUUCAAAUUCAAACCGAUCUAAAUUAAACCGUUUAUCCAAUUUAAUUCAAAUCAAAUCGAAAACCGAUUAAAACCGUAUUAAUUCGGAUUUGAUUGGAUUCUAUUUUUU